ensembl:snRNA U6 U6 spliceosomal RNA
GUGCUCGCUUCAGCAGCACACAUACUAAAACUGGAACGAUACAGAGAAGAUUAGCAUGGCCCCUGAGCAAGGAUGACACACAAAUUCGUGAAGUGUUCCAUAUUUUU